AGCAUGUAAAAGUGUGCAUCUUCCCUUGAAAAUAUUGACAAAGCGUGUAUAAGUGUGCAUUUUCCCUUGAAAAUAUUAACCAAGCAUGUAUAAAUGUGCAUUUUCCCUUGAAAAUAUUGACAAAGCAUGUAAAAGUGUGCAUCUUCCCUUGAAAAUAUUGACAAAGCGUGUAUAAAUGUGCAUCUUCCCUUGAAAAUAUUGACAAAGCGUGUAUAAAUGUGCAUCUUCCCUUGAAAAUAUUGACAAAGCGUGUAUAAGUGUGCAUUUUCCCUUGAAAAUAUUAACCAAGCAUGUAUAAAUGUG